rnacentral:rRNA from 4 species
ACGGGUGCGUAACGCGUAUGCAAUCUGCCUUUCACAGAGGGAUAGCCCAGAGAAAUUUGGAUUAAUACCUCAUAGUAUUAUAGAGCGGCAUCACUUUAUAAUUAAAGUCACAACGGUGAAAGAUGAGCAUGCGUCCCAUUAGCUAGUUGGUAAGGUAACGGCUUACCAAGGCCACGAUGGGUAGGGGUCCUGAGAGGGAGAUCCCCCACACUGGUACUGAGACACGGACCAGACUCCUACGGGAGGCAGCAGUGAGGAAUAUUGGUCAAUGGACGCAAGUCUGAACCAGCCAUGCCGCGUGCAGGAUGACGGUCCUAUGGAUUGUAAACUGCUUUUGUACGAGAAGAAACACUCCUAUGUAUAGGAGCUUGACGGUAUCGUAAGAAUAAGGAUCGGCUAACUCCGUGCCAGCAGCCGCGGUAAUACGGAGGAUCCAAGCGUUAUCCGGAAUCAUUGGGUUUAAAGGGUCCGUAGGCGGUUUAGUAAGUCAGUGGUGAAAGCCCAUCGCUCAACGGUGGAACGGCCAUUGAUACUGCUGAACUUGAAUUACUGGGAAGUAACUAGAAUAUGUAGUGUAGCGGUGAAAUGCUU